CAGUCGCCGCGGUAAUACGGAGGGGGCUAGCGUUGUUCGGAAUUACUGGGCGUAAAGCGUACGUAGGCGGCUUUGUAAGUUAGAGGUGAAAGCCUGGUGCUCAACACCAGAACUGCCUUUAAGACUGCAUCGCUUGAACGUCGGAGAGGUGAGUGGAAUUCCGAGUGUAGAGGUGAAAUUCGUAGAUAUUCGGAAGAACACCAGUGGCGAAGGCGGCUCACUGGACGACUGUUGACGCUGAGGUACGAAAGCGUGGGGAGCAAACAGGAUUAGAUACCCCAGUAGUCCCUGUCUCUUAUAU
rnacentral:rRNA from 1 species